rnacentral:rRNA from 1 species
AAUGAACGCUGGCGGCAGGCCUAACACAUGCAAGUCGAGCGCGCGGUGGACGGGUGAGUACUGUAUGGGGAUCUGCCCGAUGGAGGGGGUUAACUACUGGAAACGGUGGCUAAAACCGCACAGCAUCGGAUGAACCCUUAUGGGUUUAGCUAGUAGGUGGGGUAAAGGCUCACCAAGGCGACGAUCACUGGCUGGGCUGAGAGGAUGAUUAGCCACACUGGGACUGAUACACGGCCCAGACGCCUACGGUAGGCAGCAGUGGGGAAUAUUGCACAAUGGGCGAAAGCCUGAUGCAGCCAUGCCGCGUGUAUGAAGAAGGCCUUAGGGUUGUAAAAUACUUUCAGCGGGGAGGCGUUACCCGCAGAAGAAGCUCCGGCUAACUCCGUGCCAGAAGCCGCAGGAAGUC